rnacentral:lncRNA from 1 species
UUUGCAGCAAAUGGCUUAAAUGAAGCUAGGGUGGAUCUCAACGUUUCAAAAUCCUCUUCCAAAUAUGCAUACAUUUUUUUCAAUUUUUCUUGUCUUUCCCCGUACUUUUCUUGAUCAUCCUCUUCAUUUAAUUUGGCUACUUCCUUGACAUCAAGGUCUUUUUCUAGCUUAAUGAGCAUUUUGGACACAUACUCAUUAAUUGCAUUAGUAUUAAAGCAUUCAUCAGUGUCCAAAUGAAAUUUUGAGGCAUGAAAAAUGUUAAAAGUUCUUGUUUGUCUCCAACCCGUAAUGUUAACUUACCAUAUUGCACAUCGAUUAAUGUUUUGCUUGUUGCGAGGAAGGGUCUCUCAAGUAUGAGUGGAACUUCUCUAUCAACUUCCAUGUCGAGAAUUACGAAGACGAUAGAGAAUAUGAAGUUCUCCAUAUUUAUCAACACAUCCUUAACUAUUCCCAAGGAGUAUCACACUGAUUUACUCACCAAUUGCAAUGACAUUGUUGUGGGCUUUACGUCACUAAUACUCAACUUUUUAAACAUAGAAUAAGGCAUUCAGUUAUGCCUACGAUCAUAUCUUCAAGUGAGCUUCUUUUCUUAAGGCUAAAAUCCUGGGGGAGG